rnacentral:rRNA from 1 species
CCUACGGGUGGCAGCAGUGAGGAAUAUUGGUCAAUGGGCGCGAGCCUGAACCAGCCAAGUAGCGUGAAGGAUGACAGCCCUACGGGUUGUAAACUUCUUUUAUAAAGGACUAAAGUGAGGCACGUGUGCCUUUUUGUCUGUACUUUAUGAUUAAGGAUCGGCUAACUCCGUGCCAGCAGCCGCGGUAAUACGGAGGAUCCGAGCGUUAUCCGGAUUUAUUGGGUUUAAAGGGAGCGGAGAUGGGUUGUUAAGUCAGUUGUGAAAGUUUGCGGCUCAACCGUAAAAUUGCAAUUGCUAUGGGCAGCCUUGAGUACAGUUGAGGUAGGCGGAAUUCGUGGUGUAGCGGUGAAAUGCUUAGAUAUCACGAAGAACGCCGAUUGCGAAGGCAGCCUACUAAACUGCCACUGACAUUGAUGCUCGAAAGGGUGGGUAUCAAACAGGAUUAGAUACCCUGGUAGUC